CCUACGGGAGGCAGCAGUGAGGAAUAUUGGUCAAUGGGCGCGAGCCUGAACCAGCCAAGUAGCGUGAAGGAUGACUGCCCUACGGGUUGUAAACUUCUUUUAUAAAGGAAUAAAGUGAGGCACGUGUGCAUUUUUGUAUGUCUUUUAUGAAUAAGGAUCGGCUAACUCCGUGCCAGCAGCCACGGUAAUACGGAGGAUCGGAGCGUUAGCUGGAUUUAUUGGGGUUAAAGGGAGCGUAGAUGGGUUGUUAAGUCAGUUGGGAAAGUUUGCGGCUCAACCGUAAAAUUGCAAUUGAUACUGGCAGCCUUGAGUACAGGUGAGGUAGGCGGAAUUCGUGGUGUAGCGGUGAAAUGCUUAGAUAUCACGAAGAACUCCGAUUGCGAAGGCAGCCUACUAAACUGCCACUGACAUUGAUGCUCGAAAGUGUGGGUAUCAAACAGGAUUAGAUACCCGAGUAGUC
rnacentral:rRNA from 1 species